GAAAGCCGUGUGCGGGAAAACCGCAUGCACGGUUUGAUGAGGGAGGGUUGGUGAAGGUUGCUAUGGCAUGGCCAUUUAGGCACCGUCAAACGAAAGGGACGGAAACGGAUAAGCCAAGCCUACGGUGGCGAUAGCCAGCUCUCUACUCUAC
rnacentral:ncRNA from 1 species